CAGCCAUGAACGUGGAGAACAACCAAUGGUUUACCGGCUGCCAGCAGCCAAAAACCUCGCUAAAGGAAAAGAAUCGUUCGGUCCAACAAGCUCAGCGCACACGGUUGCUCUGGAAUGGCGGGUAGUGUAGGCAGGUUUAUAUGUUCGAUUUCAAAUGGGUGGCAACAUACGAAUAUACGUAGAAAUAUUUUAGUGUAGAUUCACUUAUUUUGCUUUGUAUGUAGUCACUUGUUAAAAUGUCUAGAAAGACAAAUAUUUGAAAAUGGAGGAAGUAGUUUAUACAAGAAAAAUGUAUAUCUAGUUGGAGCACUAAAAAAAGUUGGUACUCCGUACAUGCAUAGGUAGUCUACGGUCGUCUGAUCACUCACAAAGUUUGAUGCUUGCUUGUUGACACAUUAGCCCGUGAAAGUGUGAAAACGUUCGCGACUUUACAAGUUACAACAAACCACACGGACAACCGUUUUCUAUGCAGCUCCCCUCACCCACUCGCCCAACCCCUACCCGUCUCUUAUCCAUUCCAGUGACUGAGAGUCAGAGGAGAUGUGGCAGCGACACCGAUCUGCUCGCGGCGGCCAUGGCGGGUCUUGCGGCGUGGGACAGCUGCUUCCGGCGUCCGACGGCAGCACGCAUCCCCCAAAGCCCGACCUGCUCAAGCUACGCGCAGCUCCUCCACCUUCCACUCAAAGCGACAACGGCGGCCGCGGAGGACCAGUGGCAGCCAUGGCUGGUCUCGAUUCGACGUGCCGCGGCAGGGCUAGGUGCGUGUAGGCUGCUCGGCAUCAGCGGCCGACAGCGCGCACCUGUGCAAGGAGGUCCUCGUCGAAGAAUAUCAGAGCCGCCUUGUUCUUGAACUCACAGAGGAGCAUGUGGUCGCCCUCUGGGUCCUUGUACUGGCGAGGUGACGAAUCGGUGACCACGCUCCGGGGCGAGCGAGGCCGGGGUGCACGACGAGCCAAGUCGCUAUCCUGGGCUCUGUAAUUGGAAAUUUCGGGCCGAGCGAGCACAUCCGGUUGGUUAGCUGGCGCCUUGGCGGGAGCUGCUGUUGCUCCUCGCUGGGAACAACCACCAUAUCCUCAGGCGGCGGUAGCGACUCGUUCGUGUGCGCGCUGGGCCGGAGCGUCACGGGCGCCAUCACGGCGACCACACCAAGCGCAAGGGCCUUGGGAACAGCCAGAUGCCCCUACACUACAAGCUUUCUCAGAAGAUGGCAUUAGGUAGUGUUCUUUCACGGCACUACUAUCUAUUUCAUGAGGAACCACUUGGCAGAUCUGUAGGAUCGCAAUGUUCAGCUUGGCUUCAAUCUUUGAUCUGAUCCUCUGUUUUCAAGGCGUCCGUAAGGCGUCGUCAGGGCGCCCUCCAGGCUCAGGGCGUCGGCCUUGCCUUAGACAGUCGUGUAAGGCGUCCGCCUUAGGCUGUAAGGCGUCUGAAGCGUCCGCCUUAGCGCCGCCUUGCACGCCUCAGACCAAAUCGGACGCCUUAGCUUGUCAGGCAGGGAAACAGAGAUUGCAGGUGGGAAAACUGACCUGGGCGGGAACACAGGCGCGGGAAACAUUGGUUCAGGUGCGACCAGUUAUGAGAAGGGGAAAGAGAGAGUGAAUCGACGCGAGAGGUCUCUCCUGUCUCCUCUCUGGACCAUUGACGGAGGCUUCCUCCUCAGAUCUGCGGCAGCCGCCAGCCUCCUCCCUCCGGCCACAGUUCCUCCCCCUCCUCUCUGGCUGCAGCUCCUCCCCAUCCUCCUCUGGCGCAACCCUCUUCCAGCAGAUCAGCACCACAUCAAGGUAUGAAUUCAGCCCUCUCUUCUCCCCCCUUUCCCCCUAUCCUCUUUCUUCCAUCCAGCAGUGUAGCUUGCCAUGCUUGCCUGCUCUGUUAUGCACAGCUCCUCUACUAACUGUUAGGUGCUGCCUCUCUUAUGCACAGCAGUGUAGCUAGAUGUGCUUGCCCGCUCCUCAUCUGCAUCUGUUUCUUCCCAGAUCUGCUUCUCCACCCACAAGGCAGCAGCCCCACCACUGCUUCUCUCCUUCCCCAUGCUUGAUCUGGCUGCUCUAGUGAUUUGGCUCUUCUCUCUUUUUCUUUGACAGUAGCCAGGUGUACCUGCUCUGAUGGAUCUAGCCAAUGAUCCUAGGAGAAGAGCUACAUCAGAUGUUCCAGCCUGGAAGUAUGGGUUCUGGCCAGAUUUAGAGAGGAAAGAUUUACUCCAGUGUACAUUGUGUGGCAAGAUAGUCCAUGGUGGAGUGAGAAGGCUAAAGCAGCACUUUUCUGGGGGUUCCAGUGAUGCGGAUAAGUGUCCCGAGGCAUCCAUGGAGAUUAGGAUAGAGAUGCACAAUUCCUUAAACACUAGAAAGUUUAAAGCUAUGGAGCGAUAUAUUGAUGAGGAGGAUGAAGCUGAACUUCAAAGGCGCCGUUUUGUCAUAUACACAAGAUGA
rnacentral:rRNA from 1 species